rnacentral:rRNA from 1 species
GACGAACGCUGGCGGCGUGCUUAACACAUGCAAGUCGAACGGAAAGGCCUGCUUUCCCUUGUGGAUUGCGGGUACUCGAGUGGCGAACGGGUGAGUAACACGUGAGUGAUCUGCCCCCAACUUGGGUAUAAGCCUGGGAAACUGGGUCUAAUUCCCGAUAGGACUGCAGGGUGGUGCCUGUGGUGGAAAACGAUUUUCUAGUGGUUGGGGAUGAGCUCGCGGCCUAUCAGCUUGUUGGUGGGGUAAUGGCCUACCAAGGCGGCGACGGGUAGCCGGCCUGAGAGGGUGGACGGCAACAUUGGGACUGAGAUACGGCCCAGACUCCUACGGGAGGCAGCAGUGGGGAAUAUUGCACAAUGGGCGGAAGCCUGAUGCAGCGACGCCGUGUGGGGGAUGACGGCCUUCGGGUUGUAAACUCCUUUCGACCGCGAGGAAGCCACCUGGUUGGAAGGGUGGUGACGGUAGUGGUAGAAGAAGCACCGGCUAACUACGUG